AUUGAACGCUGGCGGCAUGCCUUACACAUGCAAGUCGAACGGCAGCACGGGAGCAAUCCUGGUGGCGAGUGGCGAACGGGUGAGUAAUAUAUCGGAACGUGCCCAGUCGUGGGGGAUAACGUAGCGAAAGCUACGCUAAUACCGCAUACUAUCUAUGGAUGAAAGCGGGGGAUCGCAAGACCUCGCGCGAUUGGAGCGGCCGAUAUCAGAUUAGGUAGUUGGUGAGGUAAAGGCUCACCAAGCCGACGAUCUGUAGCUGGUCUGAGAGGACGACCAGCCACACUGGGACUGAGACACGGCCCAGACUCCUACGGGAGGCAGCAGUGGGGAAUUUUGGACAAUGGGCGCAAGCCUGAUCCAGCAAUGCCGCGUGAGUGA
rnacentral:rRNA from 1 species